rnacentral:rRNA from 1 species
GUGGGGAAUAUUGGACAAUGGGCGAAAGCCUGAUCCAGCCAUGCCGCGUGUGUGAAGAAGGUCUUCGGAUUGUAAAGCACUUUACGUUGGGAGGAAGGGCAGUAAGUUAAUACCUUGCUGUUUUGACGUUACCGACAGAAUAAGCACCGGCUAACUUCGUGCCAGCAGCCGCGGUAAUACGAAGGGUGCAAGCGUUAAUCGGAAUUACUGGGCGUAAAGGGCGCGUAGGUGGUGUUGUAAGUUGGAGGUGAAAUACCCGGGCUCAAACUGGGAACUGCCUCUAAAACUGCAUGACUAGAGUACGGUAGAGGGUAGUGGAAUUUCCUGUGUAGCGGUGAAAUGCGUAGAUAUAGGAAGGAACACCAGUGGCGAAGGCGACUACCUGGACUGAUACUGACACUGAGGUGCGAAAGCGUGGGGAGCAAACAGGAUUAGAUACCCUUGUAGUCC